CACUCCUGCGGGAGGCAGCAGUGGGGAAUUUUGGACAAUGGGCGAAAGCCUGAUCCAGCAAUGCCGCGUGAGUGAAGAAGGCCUUCGGGUUGUAAAGCUCUUUUGUCAGGGAAGAAACGGUGAAAGCUAAUAUCUUUUGCUAAUGACGGUACCUGAAGAAUAAGCACCGGCUAACUACGUGCCAGCAGCCGCGGUAAUACGUAGGGUGCAAGCGUUAAUCGGAAUUACUGGGCGUAAAGCGUGCGCAGGCGGUUUUGUAAGUCUUAUGUGAAAUCCCCGGGAUCAACCUGGGAAUUGCAUUGGAGACUGCAAGGCUAGAAUCUGGCAGAGGGGGGUAGAAUUCCACGUGUAGCAGUGAAAUGCGUAGAUAUGUGGAGGAACACCGAUGGCGAAGGCAGCCCCCUGGGUCAAGAUUGACGCUCAUGCACGAAAGCGUGGGGAGCAAACAGGAUUAGAUACCCCGGUAGUCCCAU
rnacentral:rRNA from 1 species